UUUUCCUAUGUGCCUUGGUUGGACGGCCAUGGAGGUUCCAGCAAUGUUCCUUGGUAUGGUGAGAUUUUCCACAAUAGUCACAGUGUAGAUGAUCCUUGUCUAAUGGACCAGAGUUGUGUGACUAUUCCUUGAAGGCAAUAGCAACUAGCCCUGACUUGUCAACAAGCAUAGCAUGAACCACAGUACUUCUUCUGCUCUCCUCUUGUUGAAUGUAAGAAUAAAUCUACCUUAAGGAGGGUCAAGAUCCUUACCAAGUACCUGGCCCUAAUUUAGUCAUAUUCUACGUUUAGUCUAGCAACAAAAUCACAGAUUCGCUCGUUCUCAACCGACUUCUGAAAUUUAAUAGCAUCACUAGCGCAUGUAAUAUGAAAAUUUUGAUAGUAAUCCAAUUCUUAACAAUAAACCACUCAAUUCAGUAACAUAUUGCAACAGUCAUCUCACAUUGUUUUGUACCAUGGACUUCGUUCUUUAAUUCAUAGACUUGUGCAUCAUUGCCUAUUUAAGAGUUGGUCAGGGAAACAAAGCUCCAAUUGGUGGUUACACUAUUUAAUAGCAAACACCUAUGGGCUAUAUGAGCUUGCACUGAGUUAAUAAGCCAUGACAGCACCAGGGAAUUUUCUGAUUCCCAUUAGUUGUAGACAGAACUGGUUGUCUCCAACUUUGGUUUGUCGCUACUGCUAACACCUUAUGAUCCCCUGGCUUGAAUAAACAGAAAACAAGAACUUGACAAUGCCAGAUAGUUAAUCCCGUCUAGCUUUACAGGGUUAAUUUGUAAAGAUGGGUUAUCAAAAUAAAUUCUUGUUGCAGUAAUCUCCUUUUUCCUAUCUGUCAUGGUUUUAAAAAAAGCAAAAAAGCACCAAAGGAGAAAAGGCAAACCAGCAUGGAGCAAAGCAGUGACAUACGAGGAGGACCGCUGAGAAGAAGAAUUGCGGGAAAAGUGAUUCACACACUAGCGUGUGAGAAAAGGUGAAAGUCUUGUGGCGUCGCAUGGAUCCAUUCACUUCACCAGACUGUGUUGGUUUUCUGUCGAUAGGCUGAUUAGCGGUCGAGCUUUCUCUUGGGACAGGUGGUGUUGAUUAACUUUCCCUUGAGAGUCGCCUAGAAGCUUGACCCUCCUAAACCCUAAAACUCAGAUCUAAACCUUUGCCUUGAAAUCACAGGCAAGGCUCUGAUACCAUGUUGUAAACAAUAGUCUUUAGGAAAAAUUUUCAAUUUAUUUCUCUAUAUAAACCUUGUAUAAAAUAUCUAUUUAUACGCAUGUAAUCUACCUUACGUGGAAACCUACAAACAAUAGGAAACUAAAACUAG
rnacentral:misc_RNA from 1 species